rnacentral:rRNA from 1 species
CUACAGAGGGUGCGAGCGUUAAUCGGAAUUACUGGGCGUAAAGCGCGCGUAGGCGGCUUAUUAAGUCAGAUGUGAAAUCCCCGGGCUCAACCUGGGAACUGCAUCUGAUACUGGUAAGCUAGAGUUUUGGAGAGGGAAGUAGAAUUUCAGGUGUAGCGGUGAAAUGCAUAGAGAUCUGAAGGAAUACCAGUGGCGAAGGCGACUUCCUGGCCAAAAACUGACGCUGAGGUGCGAAAGCAUGGGUAGCAAACGGGAUUAGAAACCCCUGUAGUCC